GACGAACGCUGGCGGCGCGCCUAACACAUGCAAGUCGAACGAGAGAUGAGGAGCUUGCUCUUCAAAUCGAGUGGCGAACGGGUGAGUAACGCGUGAGGAACCUGCCUCAAAGAGGGGGACAACAGUUGGAAACGACUGCUAAUACCGCAUAAGCCCACGGCUCGGCAUCGAGCAGAGGGAAAAGGAGCAAUCCGCUUUGAGAUGGCCUCGCGUCCGAUUAGCUAGUUGGUGAGGUAACGGCCCACCAAGGCGACGAUCGGUAGCCGGACUGAGAGGUUGAACGGCCACAUUGGGACUGAGACACGGCCCAGACUCCUACGGGAGGCAGCAGUGGGGAAUAUUGCACAAUGGGGGAAACCCUGAUGCAGCGACGCCGCGUGGAGGAAGAAGGUCUUCGGAUUGUAAACACCUGUUGUUGAGGAAGAUAAUGACGGUACUCAACAAGGAAGUGACGGCUAACUACGUGCCAGCAGCCGCGGUAAAACGUAGGUCACAAGCGUUGUCCGGAAUUACUGGGUGUAAAGGGAGCGCAGGCGGGAGAACAAGUUGGAAGUGAAAUCCAUGGGCUCAACCCAUGAACUGCUUUCAAAACUGUUUUUCUUGAGUAGUGCAGAGGUAGGCGGAAUUCCCGGUGUAGCGGUGGAAUGCGUAGAUAUCGGGAGGAACACCAGUGGCGAAGGCGGCCUACUGGGCACCAACUGACGCUGAGGCUCGAAAGUGUGGGUAGCAAACAGGAUUAGAUACCCUGGUAGUCCACACCGUAAACGAUGAUUACUAGGUGUUGGAGGAUUGACCCCUUCAGUGCCGCAGUUAACACAAUAAGUAAUCCACCUGGGGAGUACGACCGCAAGGUUGAAACUCAAAGGAAUUGACGGGGGCCCGCACAAGCAGUGGAGUAUGUGGUUUAAUUCGACGCAACGCGAAGAACCUUACCAAGUCUUGACAUCCUGCGACGCACAUAGAAAUAUGUGUUUCCUUCGGGACGCAGAGACAGGUGGUGCAUGGUUGUCGUCAGCUCGUGUCGUGAGAUGUUGGGUUAAGUCCCGCAACGAGCGCAACCCUUAUGGUCAGUUACUACGCAAGAGGACUCUGGCCAGACUGCCGUUGACAAAACGGAGGAAGGUGGGGAGGACGUCAAAUCAUCAUGCCCUUUAUGACUUGGGCUACACACGUACUACAAUGGCGUUAAACAAAGAGAAGCAAGACCGCGAGGUGGAGCAAAACUCAGAAACAACGUCCCAGUUCGGACUGCAGGCUGCAACUCGCCUGCACGAAGUCGGAAUUGCUAGUAAUCGUGGAUCAGCAUGCCACGGUGAAUACGAUCCCGGGCCUUGCAC
rnacentral:rRNA from 1 species